GGUCAAGCUACUAAGGGCGAUCGGUGGAUGCCUAGGCGUUGAGAGGCGACGAAGGACGUGGCUAGCUGCGAAAAGCUUCGGGGAGCCGCUAAACAGGCUAUGAUCCGGAGAUGU
rnacentral:rRNA from 1 species